UGGUCCGAGCAAACAAUGCAAUCCGUCUCAACCAGCUACAGCAACAAAUACUUGCAGAUAGAGAAGUAUUCAAUAACAUAGAGCGAGUGAGCAUUUCCACUAUCAGAAGCAUCUUGGUAAAGCACCAAAUUACCAUGAAGCAAUUGUACAGGGUCCCAUUUGAGAGAAACAGUGUCAGGUGUUACAGUCCUUUACAUUUACAAUACAGUAUUGGUGUCAUCCAGUUACAGCUGAAUAUGUGCCAUUGUAUCAGUACCACAUAGAUACAUUCAGAGAGGUACCAGGUACCUGUUCGAUGGGGUGGGGGUUCUGUAUGUGUAGUACUGUAGUUGAGUGUUUUGAGUAAUGCCAUCUAAAAUCUGUAUUGCAUGUAUUUUGUUUUGUUACAGCGCAUCUUGGAGAUGGAUGGAGCUGCACAGCCUCACGAAUUUAUUUACAUUGAUGAGGCUGGAUUCAACCUCAGCAAAACAAGACGACGGGGUCGUAACAUAAUUGGCCAAAGGGCAAUUGUGCAAGUCCCGGGGCAGCGCGGGGGAAAUAUGUCAUUGUGUGCUGCCAUAAGCCUUCAAGGGCUACUGCACCAUCAAACAAAACUAGGUCCCUUCAAUACCGAACAUAUAAUAACAUUUCUGGAUGCACUUCACGAUGCAGCUGUACAGGACAGACCAAAGCAGCCCAGGUUUGUUUUUGUCUGGGAUAAUGUUAGUUUCCAUCGGGCUGCUCUGGUCCGCAACUGGUUCACCAACCAUCAUCAAUUUGAAGUCCUAUACUUGCCCCCUUACACACCAUUUCUAAA